rnacentral:rRNA from 1 species
GACGAACGCUGGCGGCGUGCUUAACACAUGCAAGUCGAACGGAAAGGCCCUGCUUUUGUGGGGUGCUCUGGUGGCGAACGGGUGAGUAACACGUGAGUAACCUGACCUUGACUUUGGGAUAGCUUCAGGAAACUGGGGCUAAUCCCGGAUAGGAGCUCCUGCUGCAUGGUGGGGGUUGGAAAGUUUCGGCGGUUGGGGAUGGACUCGCGGCUUAUCAGCGUGUUGGUGGGGUAGUGGCUUACCAAGGCUUUGACGGGUAGCCGGCCUGAGAGGGUGACCGGCCACAUUGGGACUGAGAUACGGCCCAGACUCCUAGGGGAGGGAGCAGUGGGGAAUAUUGCACAAUGGGCGGAAGCCUGAUGCAGCAACGCCGCGUGCGGGAUGACGGCCUUCGGGUUGUAAACCGCUUUCGCCUGUGACGAAGCGUGAGUGACGGUAAUGGGUAAAGAAGCACCGGCUAACUACGUG